rnacentral:rRNA from 1 species
UACAGAGGUCCCAAGCGUUGUUCGGAUUCACUGGGCGUAAAGGGUGCGUAGGCGGUCGGGUAAGUCUGACGUGAAAUCUCCAAGCUCAACUUGGAAAUGGCGUCGGAUACUAUCCGGCUGGAGGAAUGGAGGGGAGACUGGAAUUCUCGGUGUAGCAGUGAAAUGCGCAGAUAUCAGGAGGAACACCGGUGGCGAAGGCGGAUCUCUGGGCCGUAACUGACGCUGAGGAGCGAAAGCAUGGGUAGCGAACAGG